GGGCGCAAGCGGGCGCAAGCCUGAUCCAGCAAUGCCGCGUGCAGGAUGAAGGCCUUCGGGUUGUAAACUGCUUUUGUACGGAACGAAAAGGCUUGGGCUAAUACCUGGGGCGGAUGACGGUACCGUAAGAAUAAGCACCGGCUAACUACGUGCCAGCAGCCGCGGUAAUACGUAGGGUGCGAGCGUUAAUCGGAAUUACUGGGCGUAAAGCGUGCGCAGGCGGUUUUGUAAGACAGAUGUGAAAUCCCCGGGCUUAACCUGGGAACUGCAUUUGUGACUGCAAGGCUGGAGUACGGCAGAGGGGGAUGGAAUUCCGCGUGUAGCAGUGAAAUGCGUAGAUAUGCGGAGGAACACCGAUGGCGAAGGCAAUCCCCUGGGCCUGUACUGACGCUCAUGCACGAAAGCGUGGGGAGCAAACAGGAUUAGAUACCCUGGUAGUCCACGCCCUAAACGAUGUCAACUGGUUGUUGGGCCAUCAGAGAUUCAUUAACGAAGCUAACGCGUGAAGUUGACCGCCUGGGGAGUACAGCCGCAAGGUUG
rnacentral:rRNA from 1 species